ensembl:snRNA U2 U2 spliceosomal RNA
AUUGCUUCUCAGACUUUUGGCUAAGAUCAAGUGUAAUAUCUGUUCUUAUCAGUUUAAUAUCUGAUACGUCCUCUAUCCAGGGGCAAUAUAUUAAAUGUAGUUUUGGAGCAGGGAGUUAGAAUAGGAGCUUGACCCGUCCACUCAUGCAUUGACCUGGUAUUGCAGUACCUGACAUGCAACAAGAGAUCUCAC